UCUAAAAAGGACAGAACAGGGGCCAAAAAGUGGAUUGCCCACCAAACCUCCUUCUCAAGGGUGUUUAUUGAGCAAAGCCACAAAGGGAGGCAGGUUUAAGGCAGAAUUAUAAUCAAUCAGUAAGAUUAAAAGUACAGUUGCUGGGGCUGGGGAUUUAGCUCAGUGGCAUAAGCACCUGCCUUGCAAGCAGGCAGUCGUGAGUUUGAUCCCUGGUACCCAUAAAAAAAAAAAAAAGUACAGUUGCUUAGGUCAUAUUGAUCCAGUGAGAAAUCAUAGGUAAAUAUGAGGUAGGACAAGAUUACAGUGAUACAAAACAGGUCCCCUUAGAGAAGCAUCAUAACCUUAUAACCCUCACAUGUGUCUUGGUUACUUUUUUCUUGUUGCUAGGACAAAAUACCUGACAACCAAAAUUAAGGAAGGAAAGGUUUAUUUAGCUUACAGUUUGUGGAGGUUUCAGUCUGUAAUCAGCUGGCUCCAAGGCAGGGUGGCCUAGCUGAGGGGCAACACUUCAAGGCAGAAGAAAACAGCAGAAGCAACAAGAACCAAAGGGGAAAGCCUGCACUGCUCCAGCUGGUAGCAGACCUUGGCAUCAUCCACAUGGUGCUGGUUUUAGGUGCAUUCAGAAUGCAAGAGUUAUGGGGUUAAAAGAGCUUCCAUCCAAUUUCAGAGGGCCUGGGAGGCCAGGCACUUUGCCCAGAGAGGACAGUGUGUGAAACUGUGAGGGUGAAGCCAAAGGUGCAGUGGAGACCCCAGAAGUUUGGAAAAGCCAGGAAUAUGGAUUGUCUUAAGAAACUUACAAGGAGGAAGUAAAACAGGCUUUAGGUUUGUUGUUGUUUUGUGUGAGGACUCAUGACCCAUGCUUGCCAGGCAGGUGCUACAUUGCUAAGCUAUAUCCCUAGGGCUUAAGAGAGAAGCUGUGGGAGACACAACCACCAGAAAUGCCAUAGGGAUGGAGUCACUCAAUGGCUUCGGAGCUCACAAUUUGCCACUGAUUGCUUCACAUACUGGAUGUGAAACUAUAGGACUUAAUGUUUGCCCUGCUGGAUUUUGGAUUUGUUCCUAUUCCUUUGUAUACCCUCUUCUUGUUCUUGUUGCUCUAGUUGUCUUCCACAGCCUUGAAAUAUUGCCCCAGUGCCAAGCCACCCGGCCUGGGAGCCAGCUGAUUAUGGACUGAAACUUCUACAAACCAUGAGCUAAAGAAAUUUUCCUUCCUUGAUUUUGAGCAUCAGGUAUUUUGUCUCAGUGACAGGAGAAAAAAUAACAAGGACACCAUGUUUUCAAGUUAAAUUUAUCAGCAUUUUAAUAACAUUGUAUGAGGAGAAGCAUGACCAAUAUAAAGACAUAGCAUAAAAACUUGAAGCAUAAAAAUUUUGAUUAUCUAAGUGGGCCACAAUCCAGUAUUUACAAAAACAAACCAAAUAAAUAAAGCAAAUUUGUAGGGGGCGGCGUGACUUCCCCACUGCUGUCUCCCCGCCUCUCCCUUGUAUGGGCACGUAGUGCAUCUACACCAAUCAUGAUCCUCUCCUGCUCACAUUACGUACACAGACAUGACGAUGACCCAUCAGAAAUCACCCCGUAGCCUCUUCCUGUCCCACCAGCCUGCCCUUGCCCUAUAAAAGCUGUGACCACUUCCUCAAUAAAUGAGACUUGAUUGGAAUUCCUCAACUUGUCUCCAUCUCUCUUUGUCUCUUGCCCUGCCUUUGUCAAUCCCUGUUCCUCCUCCAGGUGGUUGCCAUGUGGAUUGACCCAUGGGCUGGGUCAAGUGGUGCCCAAUGUGGGGCUCUUGGCACAGAGGAUUCAAUGAGGGAGCCGUUCAGAGAUGCCAGCCAAAACUGAAACUAAAGAUCCGAGACCUACGCCACGCAGGAGCCUGCCAUGCCGCUUGAGCCACGGGGGGAAUUUGUCUUGCCUUACAGGAAAAAUGUUGCUUCUGUGUUAACCAGUCUGGCAUCAUAUGUGGAAAACUUCAAGAAAUUGAAGAGCAGCUCAAAUUGAGAAAACACCAGAUGGCCUCUAACCCUUUCUCCUCACUCUGGGGAGGGCUCUUCCCCUACUUAGUGCCCCUCCUGGGGCCCCUAGCUGCCCUGUUGCUUCUCCUCUCUGUGGGUCCUUGUAUUUUUCAGAGGAUUAUGACACUCGUUAAUAACUGGAUAGAUGCAUUUAUGGCAAAGCCCAUUCAGGUACACUGUCACCAGCUGGAGAUGGCAGAUCAACAAACCUAUUGGGAAAGAAUUCCCACGAGAGGCCCAUAUGACAAUGUGGCCUAACCACCCUGGGGCAGUGGACAGGCAGCCAGAGACAGGCAACUAGAACAUACAUGCCAUACCACCAGCCGCCUAAGACAGGCACAGGACCAACUGCUGUCCUGCAAGCCCAUGACAAGUAAGGCUUGGUUGAGUUCAUGUAAAGAGGUGCUUGACCCAAGACAGGCACUGUCCUCACAGGGCCUGCCAUAAAAUAUAUUUAAUCAGGCCUGCCUGAUUAAAAAUACAAAAAGGGAGGAGAUGUAGGGGGUGGUGCGACCACCCCACUGUUGUGUCCCCGCCUCUCCCUUAUAUGUGCACAUAGUGCGUCUACACCAAUCAUGAUCUUCUCCUGCUCACGUCACAUACAUGGACAUGAUGAUGACCCAUCAGAGAUCACCCCGUAGCCUCUUCCUGUCCCACUGGCCUGCCCUUGCCCUCUAAAAGCUGUGACCACUUCCUCAAUAAAUGAGACUUGAUUGGAAUUCCUCAA